CCUACGGGAGGCAGCAGUGGGGGAUAUUGCACAAUGGGGGGAACCCUGAUGCAGCGACGCCGCGUGGGUGAAGAAGCGCCUCGGCGCGUAAAGCCCUGUCAGCAGGGAAGAAAAUGACGGUACCUGAAGAAGAAGCCCCGGCUAACUACGUGCCAGCAGCCGCGGUAAUACGUAGGGGGCAAGCGUGAUCCGGAUUUACUGGGUGGAAAGGGGGCGCAGCCGGCGAUGCAAGCCAGGAGUGAAAGCCCGGGGCCCAACCCCGGGACUGCUCUUGGAACUGCGUGGCUGGAGUGCAGGAGGGGCAGGCGGAAUUCCUGGUGUAGCGGUGAAAUGCGUAGAUAUCAGGAGGAACACCGGUGGCGAAGGCGGCCUGCUGGACUGCAACUGACGUUGAGGCCCGAAAGCGUGGGGAGCAAACAGGAUUAGAUACCCUUGUAGUC
rnacentral:rRNA from 1 species